rnacentral:rRNA from 1 species
AACGAACGCUGGCGGCAGGCCUAACACAUGCAAGUCGAGCGCCCCGCAAGGGGAGCGGCGGACGGGUGAGUAACGCGUGGGAACGUACCCUUUGCUACGGAAUAGCCUCGGGAAACUGGGAGUAAUACCGUAUGUGCCCUUCGGGGGAAAGAUUUAUCGGCAAAGGAUCGGCCCGCGUUGGAUUAGGUAGUUGGUGGGGUAAUGGCCCACCAAGCCGACGAUCCAUAGCUGGUUUGAGAGGAUGAUCAGCCACACUGGGACUGAGACACGGCCCAGACUCCUACGGGAGGCAGCAGUGGGGAAUCUUAGACAAUGGGCGCAAGCCUGAUCUAGCCAUGCCGCGUGAGCGAUGAAGGCCUUAGGGUCGUAAAGCUCUUUCGUGGGGGAAGAUAAUGACUGUACCCCAAGAAGAAGCCCCGGCUAACUCCGUGCCAGCCGCCGCGGUAAAAC